rnacentral:rRNA from 1 species
UACGUAGGGGGCUAGCGUUGUCCGGAAUCAUUGGGCGUAAAGCGCGUGUAGGCGGUCCGGUAAGUCCGCUGUGAAAGUCGGGGGCUCAACCCUCGAAUGCCGGUGGAUACUGUCGGGCUAGAGUGCGGAAGAGGCGAGUGGAAUUCCUGGUGUAGCGGUGAAAUGCGCAGAUAUCAGGAGGAACACCAAUUGCGAAGGCAGCUCGCUGGGACGUUACUGACGCUGAGACGCGGAAGCGUGGGGAGCAAACAGG